UUUGUUACUUCAAACCAAUCGGACUUCGGUCUGACACCAAGUGAUAUUGAACAAUUUAGCUGAUCGCACGGUCUAAGAACCGGCGACAUAUCCUUCAAAUGUCUGCCUUAUCAACUUUCGAUGGUAGAUUAUGCGCCUACCAUGGUUGUAACGGGUAACGGAGAAUCAGGGUUUGAUUCCGGAGAGGGAGCCUGAGAAACGGCUACCACAUCCAAGGAAGGCAGCAGGCACGCAAAUUACCCACCCCCGGCACGGGGAGGUAGUGACGAAAAAUAACAAGCUGGUCUCAAUGAGUUCCAGCAUUGUAAUGGGUACAAUUUAAAUCUUUUAUCGAGGAUCUAUUGGAGGGCAAGUCUGGUGCCAGCAGCCGCGGUAAUUCCAGCUCCAAUAGCGUAUAUUAAAGUUGUUGCGGUUAAAAAGCUCGUAGUUGGAUCUAGGAUUAGGGCUACGGUCGUUCAGCUUGGACGUACUGUAUGCCCGACUCCUUUUCUCUAGUAUUCGAUUGUUGCUCUUAAAUGAGUGACUUUAGUUGCUGGAACUUUUACCUUGAAAAAAUUGAAGUGCUCAAAGCAGGUU
rnacentral:rRNA from 1 species